GAUGAACGCUGGCGGCGUGCCUAAUACAUGCAAGUCGAGCGAACAGACGAGGAGCUUGCUCCUCUGACGUUAGCGGCGGACGGGUGAGUAACACGUGGAUAACCUACCUAUAAGACUGGGAUAACUUCGGGAAACCGGAGCUAAUACCGGAUAAUAUAUUGAACCGCAUGGUUCAAUAGUGAAAGACGGUUUUGCUGUCACUUCUAGCUGGAUCCGCGCCGCAUUAGCUAGUUGGUAAGGUAACGGCUUACCAAGGCAACGAUGCGUAGCCGACCUGAGAGGGUGAUCGGCCACACUGGAAGUGAGACACGGUCCAGACUCCUACGGGAGGCAGCAGUAGGGAAGCUUCCGAAAAGGGCGAAAUCCUGACGGAGCAGCGCCGCGUGAGUGAUGAAGGUCUUCGGAUCGUAAAACUCUGUUAUUAGGGAAGAACAAAUGUGUAAGUAACUAUGCACGUCUUGACGGUACCUAAUCAGAAAGCCACGGCUAACUACGUG
rnacentral:rRNA from 1 species